rnacentral:misc_RNA from 1 species
UAUGUUAAUUUGUAGUUGAAUCAGAAUAAAUCCUUGUUCAAUAGGUGUUUGGUUAACACUUGCGAGCGUUUGACCGCCCCAAGUUUGUUGGAGUACCAGAAAUGAUCCUUCCGCAGGUUCACCUACGGAAA